rnacentral:rRNA from 1 species
UACGUAGGUGGCAAGCGUUGUCCGGAAUUAUUGGGCGUAAAGGGUUCGUAGGCGGUUUUUUAAGUCUGAUGUGAAAGCCCACGGCUUAACCGUGGAAGGUCAUUGGAAACUGGAAGACUUGAGUACAGGAGAGGAAAGUGGAAUUCCUAGUGUAGCGGUGAAAUGCGUAGAUAUUAGGAGGAACACCAGUGGCGAAGGCGGCUUUCUGGCCUGUAACUGACGCUGAUGCACGAAAGCGUGGGGAGCAAACAGG